AUGGUAUCCCGUUCCUCGCUAUUGCUAAAGUAGGAGCAAAGCUAGCCGAAGUCCAGUCCAUGUAGUUUAAUGCUGGCAAGCUUACACUUUGGAAGUCAGGCUGCUGAGCUUUGACGGAGAAGGCGCUGUGGUCAUGAUCACCUCUCUCGCAGUAAGGUUCUCCCUCCUCCAUGUAGAAGGCUUGGUUCCUAAUAGGAGUCUUGCAGGCUGCACACUUGAAACACUGAACGUGUUCGGCGCGUAGCGGUUAUCGUGGCACUUGGUGCAGAAGACGGAACCUCUCUCCUCGAAGAAGCCGCCUUCGUCCAGGACCGACUUGCACUGUGAACACGUGAACUCUUCAGGGUGCCAAGAACGUCCCAGGGCCACCAGGCGCCGCACACGGGGGUCCUCCCGCUGCCUUCGGGAGCCUGCUGCGCCGCCUGAAGGAUGGAGCUGCGGUUCUCCAUGGGCGUCGGCUGAACUGGCUGCUGGUGACGUGUCACCACCGUGCUCGUCUUGUCCGGGUGGAAGCGAUCCGCAAAACUUGGGUCCGUCACCCACGGGGGUCGGGAGGAAGGAGCCGAGGCAGAUGCAGUCUUGGAUCCUGCGUUUUGGGGGAGGGUGGGCUGUGACUUUGGAUACUUUCAGUUAUAUGUUGG